AACGAACGCUGGCGGCAGGCUUAACACAUGCAAGUCGAGCGCCCCGCAAGGGGAGCGGCAGACGGGUGAGUAACGCGUGGGAAUCUACCCAUCUCUACGGAAUAACGCAUGGAAACGUGUGCUAAUACCGUAUACGUCCUUCGGGAGAAAGAUUUAUCGGAGAUGGAUGAGCCCGCGUUGGAUUAGCUAGUUGGUGGGGUAAAGGCCUACCAAGGCGACGAUCCAUAGCUGGUCUGAGAGGAUGAUCAGCCACACUGGGACUGAGACACGGCCCAGACUCCUACGGGAGGCAGCGGGGGGGAAUAUUGGACAAUGGGCGCAAGCCUGAUCCAGCCAUGCCGCGUGAGUGAUGAAGGCCCUAGGGUUGUAAAGCUCUUUCACCAGUGAAGAUAAUGACGGUAACCGGAGAAGAAGCCCCGGCUAACUUCGUGCCAGCCGCCGCCGUAAUAC
rnacentral:rRNA from 1 species